CAUGUCUUUUUGAUUAUAAUUUAAAGUUUAACCUGCCCUAUGAAUAUAUUAUUUUAAAUGGCCGCGGUAUUUUAACCGUGCAAAGGUAGCAUAAUAAUUAGUUUCUUAAUUGGGAACUGGUAUGAAUGGUUGAACGAGAAAAAUACUGUCUCAAUUUAAUUUAAAUUAGAAUUUUAUUUUUAAGUCAAAAAGCUUAAAUAUUUUUAAAAGACGAGAAGACCCUAUAGAGUUUUAUAAAUUUUAAUAUAUUUAAAAAUUAAAGUAUUAAAAAUUUAAUUAUAUUAAAAAUUAUUUAAUUGGGGUGAUUAAAAAAUUUAAUAAACUUUUUUUAAAUUAAACCAUUGAUAUAUGAGUAAGUGAUCCAUAAAUUAUGAUUAUAAGAUUAAAUUACCUUAGGGAUAACAGCGUUAUUUUUUUUUAGAGUUCUUAUCGAAAAAAAA
rnacentral:rRNA from 1 species